rfam:Gossypium hirsutum cultivar TM-1 unplaced genomic scaffold scaffold559.1, whole genome shotgun sequence
UAUUAAAAAUUUCAUCCAUUUUUACCGUUAAAAAUUGGCGUUGCUGAUAGAAUAACCAAAAGGUUACAUGUGGCGUGCCACGUUGGCCUCAUUCUAACAUACAAGGACUAAUUUUUAACAGUAGAAAUUAAUGAAAUUUUUAACA